rnacentral:rRNA from 1 species
UACGUAGGCAGCGAGCGUUGUUCGGAGUUACUGGGCGUAAAGGGUGCGUAGGCGGUUUUCCAAGUUUGGUGUGAAAUCUCCCGGCUCAACUGGGAGGGUGCGCCGAAAACUGGGAGACUGGAGUACCGGAGAGGUAAGCGGAAUUCCUGGUGUAGCGGUGAAAUGCGUAGAGAUCAGGAGGAACACCUGUGGUGUAGACAGCUUACUGGACGGUCACUGACGCUGAGGCACGAAAGCGUGGGUAGCAAACAGG